rnacentral:lncRNA from 1 species
CAUGAUUACAAGUAGAUGGCUGGCAUACAUAUGGAAAGAUUGACAGAAAAUCAAAACACUGGAUCAUCAAUAGUAUCACAAAAUAAUGAUAAAACACCAUCUUCUACUACUACAGUGGUAGUUACACCUGGAAAUGGUCAAACAGAUAUAAGAACCUCUUCUGGAGCAGGAAGAACUAAUGGAACAGUACUGUUUACAUCACCUACACAUGUUAAACAUGUAAGUAAUUUACAUGCUAGAAAAUUUUAAAAAACAUUUGGUGUAGAAAACUUUUUAUUCUAGAUAUUAUAAUAAUAUUUAUUGAAAAAAUAAUUU